ACGCACCGCCUCACACACCCAGUGUAAACAGUCCCGCGGCGUGAGUGUCUGUGAUAACUUGCGAUAAAAAUCCGAGCUUAUCCGCGUCCCAGCAGCACCAUCCACUCCAGGAGGCCGCCAGAUGCCGCCCUGCUUGGAGUAUCACGAGGCAGCCUCCGCCUGUCCCUGAACCUUCACUCGCACCUGUAUCUGUACCUGUAGACUGGCGCCGCUCUGGAUUGAGUCGUGGAUCGCGGGCACUCGAGUAUUCAGAGUCUUGUCUUCAGCGUCAUUCCUAUUACUGAUUGGACAGCGGCAUGAGGCAAGGGAUGAAGUAAGACGAGAGCCAGGUGUGCUUCAUCAGGACUGUUUUCAAAGAACACGAGGCAAGGACGCGAACCUCCACCGACGGGUGUGACCAGCGGCAGGAGCGUCCGUGGCCCCCUGCGUCUCGUGGCUCCGCAGAAGCUGGCCUGGACGGCGUGCGCUGGGCAGCCCCGGGGAGGUGAUGGGCACACAAGGGCCGGCCUCCAGACCCCCUCCCGCCGCUCCUGACAACUACAUUCCGUUUUCUGGGCCCAGAAUCGUGCGCGACCACAUUAUUUCACAUUCUUGUCCGGGUAAGACUCACAGAAACGCGCGUCCACUUUCCACCGCGACUCAGUAACAUGAUUUAUGUCUUACCUUCGAGGCUUCACAAAGACACGAGAGAUGCAGUGAGUUUAGCCAUGCCCCUCAGAGGACGGCCCCCUGGAGCCCAGAGUGACACCUACAACCACUCCCCGGCCCCGCGGCAGCCCCUGGACGCCGUGAUAAUUGGCCGUUUUUAUCGUGCGAGGCAGUUCGGCCCGGCCACAAUUAGCGCCUACUAAGUGUAUCGAUUCGAGGCCACGGCGUCACCCAUGUGCUCGCUUAAUUACCUGCUCUUGUUCCCGUCACAGAAGCUACAUUUUUAAGGGUCAAGGUGACGGAGGGUUGAGGGAGGGAUCGGGGAGGGAUGGAAGGAGUAAUAGGAAGGGAAGGAGGAAGGUGCAAUGAAGACAAGGAAGGAGAGGAGGUAGAAUUAGAUUACAAUUACGAUCUUUAUUCUUUCUUAGAUUCCCUUAUGACUCCACGUGUGUUGUACAAAUGUUUGUGUCUUUUCUACAUGUUAAGGAAGUUGCAAGGGUAAGGACAAAAAUGAGAAGGAGGAGGAGGAGGAGGAGGAGGAGAAGGAGGAGGAGGAGGAAGAGGAGGAGGGAGAAGUGGAAUAAUACAGUAAAUCUAUUAGCUCUAUCCCUCUUUACUUUCUCCGUUGCACUAAACGAUUGUUUCUUUUCUUUUUCUUUCUUUCUUUGAGUUAAUGAAUCAGCUUAAAAAAAAGAACAAGCAGACAAAAAAGAAAAAUAAUAAUUUUAGUUGCCGCCAUCCAGGAAGUCGAAAAGUUUUAAUCAGUUAUUUUUUUAUCCAUCAUUGAGAUUGAGAAAGAAAAAAAGAACUUCUCAAAUGCCUUUUCC